rnacentral:misc_RNA from 1 species
GAAACCAGGUGAAAGCAAAUCACUGUAUCUCUGUAGAUAUAAACUCAUACACGAUUCUCUUUCUCUCGCGCGCGCUCUCUCACUCUUUCUACAUCUCUGCAUUGGAUCGAUUGAAGCACCUGGAAGAUUGUGCUUGUCAGAGCUUAAGUUUGUUGAACAUCUUGGCUGCCGUCUUGAAAUUGAAGAAUGCCAUAUUUUCCCAACAGCACGCUUGAGGAUGUGAUUUCUUUUUCUCAGCAUCUGAUCUUCCUGACUUGAGUGUCAAAAGGAAAGAAAAAUACCAGAUGGGGUCCAUACACCGCAGUGGACUUUCUAGGAAAACAAGUGAUAGUGCCAGGCUCAUUAUCACAACAAUUUUUGGAGUCGUAUUUGGUUUUUUUAUUGGUAUUUCAUUUCCAUCAGUUUCACUUACAAAGAUUCGCAUACCUUCAGGCAUAAUAUCAUCUCUUGAAGUACCGUCCCUUGAUCAACAUAGCAGAAGCAAAGAUACUAUUGGAUCAAGCAGUGUUCAUAGGAUUUAUGUUCCAACAAAUCCUCGUGGUGCAGAGUUAUUACCUCCUGGAAUAGUUGUGUCAAAAUCUGACUUUUACUUGCGCAGAUUAUGGGGUGAACCUAGUGAGGAUCUAAAGAACAAGCCAAAGUACUUAGUAACAUUUACAGUUGGUUAUGAUCAGAGGAAUAAUAUUGAUGCUGCUGUUAAAAAGGUUAUAUGGACAAACCAUUUGUUAUCCCUUGUUUAAUUGUCUUUAUUACCUUUGAUACUGAAUCUUGUUUUCUUGUACUUGUGGUAGUUUUCUGAUGAUUUUACAAUUUUGCUUUUUCACUAUGAUGGUCGAACAAGUGAAUGGGACCAAUUUGAGUGGUCAAAAAAAGCAAUCCAUGUCAGUGUAAGAAGACAAACAAAAUGGUAAAGUUUAUCGCAUAUCCAUCCUAGUUUAAGAUUAAGGCUUCAUUGAGUUUAUUAUUCAAGUUCUAACUCUAAAUUUCCUAUUAGUUGAACUUUAGAUGUAGAAUAAUCAUUUGAUUAGUUCGCUCCAUUGUUCAACUGCUUCUCUGCUUUGCUGUUGAGGCAGCCAAGUAUCAUUAUCAUACAGGUGGAUGCUAAUAUUGUGGUCUGCUCUCUUAUUUAUGCUAUAUGUUUUCCAGGUGGUAUGCAAAGAGGUUUUUGCAUCCUGAUAUCGUUGCUGCUUAUGAAUAUAUUUUCAUAUGGGAUGAAGAUCUUGGAGUGGAGCAUUUUAAUGCAGAGAAGUAAGUUCUAACUUGUCAUCUUCUUGGCUGAAAUCAACUGUUAAAUGCUUCAUUUCAAUUUUUUUCUUAUGAAUUUAUAGAUAUAUUGAGUUGGUUAGAAAACAUGGUUUGGAGAUCUCUCAGCCUGGUCUUGAGCCCAAUAAUGGACUUACAUGGCAGAUGACAAAGAGGAGAGGUGACAGAGAAGUUCAUAAGUAUUUCAUCUCUCAUGAACUUUGUUGAGGUCUCAUGAUAUCUUGGAAAAAUAAUUUUCUUUACCUUUUAAAGAUUUCACUUAUCUUUGGAUUGGACAGGGAUACGGAGGAGAAACCAGGCUGGUGUAGUGACCCACGCUUGCCUCCAUGUGCUGCGUAUGCUCUCACUCUCUUCUUCUGUAUGUGUGUCUGUCUGCAUCCACUCAUGCAUGUGAAUGUUCUAAUUGGUUCUUGUGGGCACUCAGCUUUGUGGAAAUUAUGGCCCCAGUGUUUUCUCGAGAGGCUUGGCGUUGUGUGUGGCAUAUGAUUCAGGUGUGUUGUAUUCUAGGAUUGUGUUGCUAUGUAAUUGUUUUCACAGUUACAUGCUUUUGCACACUUAUAUACAUAGAUUUUCAGAAAUUUUAAUGCAAAAGCCAAGUUCUUCAUCUCUUGUGAAUAUAAAAUUUGCUAUUCUUUAAUCUCAAACUUCUUUAGUAGUACAGGGGAUAUAUGAAGAUAAAAUGAGACAAGAUGCAUGUGCACAGCAUUCCACAUAGUCUACACACAUGAUCUCUUUUCACUGUUUUUCAAUUUUUAUCCUCUCUUUAAAGUGUUGCUGUAAUAAUGUGCUUGUAGAAUGAUUUGGUGCAUGGAUGG